CCGGUUAGAUGCUCUCGGUGGGAUUCGGUAAACGUUAACUUCAGGUUUGACACAGAGGAUCGACUCAUACUCGAACUGACCAUCGGUCGCCAUCUUGACUUUUACUCAGUCGGAGUACGCCGGUGGCGGUGAUGGUGACGCAGCCUUAGACCCUCUCUUUCGCGGCUGUCCUCCAUGUCACAGAAGUAAAGGCGAGAGACAAAGAGCCUGAGGCGAAGGUUGGGUGUCCGUCCGAGGAACUGGGCUAGUCUGGAAGAGCAGUUAGCACAGGGAGACCAGGAGCAGAACCAGGUGAUGGAGUAGCUGACCCUCCUCUCGCCAGGAGCUCCAUACCCACACAGACCAGGGCAUAAUGCACUCAGGCCCUUUUCAUAUCCUCUCCCACUUUACCUACCUCUACAUGGCAGCCAUUCCGAUUGCGGAGGUGUCCAAAGUCAAAGGACAAGGAGUCUGGGCCCACUCGUUUUUUCACUACAAAGCAGAGAUAUGUCUCAUGCCGGCCCCUCGCCCAGCGUACAUUCUUAUAAUGAUAGAGGAACUUUUUUCUGGGCAGAAGCAUGCUGAAAUAAAGGGAGAAAACAUUAAAAACACACUGCAGUAAGCACAUUAUUUUAAAGAUAAGAUACUCGUACAGAAAGCACACUACUCUCAAUUCAUCAGUCAACAUUUUGUUGCAAAAAGUGUGGCAGCUUUGGCGUCAGAUAGAGUCACUAGUAAUCAGUACAAUUAAUACUUUCAUAGCUAUAAAGUCUGAGACUAACUCCUGUUACUACUCAGAUGGCUCACUCAUUAAUGCAAGUUUUAAUCACAUAAGUUAGCACAAGUAAUGCAUGCAAAACUUGUGGUUAACCAAACAUGAGUGGACAGUCAGAAAGUAGCUUACAGUCACUCACAAAACUUUUCUCACUCUCAGUUUCACGACUUUUAGUGAAAGCAGGACAGUUAUUAAUACUGAAACUUUGAUAUAACUCAGGAGUAAAGGGUCAUAAUUAUUGAUUUCCACUGACGAAUCUUAUUAUAGUAUCAAAGUAUCGUAGCGUGGUAAAAGAACUGUAAAGAAAAAAA